GUGCGACCUCAGCUCGAGCGAGACGACCCGCUSAACUUAAGCAUAUCAGUAAGCGGAGGAAAAGAAACUGUCA
rnacentral:rRNA from 1 species